rnacentral:rRNA from 1 species
UUGCACGCUGGCGGCAGGCCUAACACCUGCAAGUCGAACGGUAACAGGAAGCAGCUUGCUGCUUUGCUGACGAGUGGCGGACGGGUGAGUAAUGUCUGGGAAACUGCCCGAUGGAGGGGGAUAACUACUGGAAACGGUAGCUAAUACCGCAUAACGUCGCAAGACCAAAGAGGGGGACCUUAGGGCCUCUUGCCAUCGGAUGUGCCCAGAUGGGAUUAGCUAGUAGGUGGGGUAACGGCUCACCUAGGCGACGAUCCCUAGCUGGUCUGAGAGGAUGACCAGCCACACUGGAACUGAGACACGGUCCAGACUCCUACGGGAGGCAGCAGUGGGGAAUAUUGCACAAUGGGCGCAAGCCUGAUGCAGCCAUGCCGCGUGUAUGAAGAAGGCCUUCGGGUUGUAAAGUACUUUCAGCGGGGAGGAAGGGAGUAAAGUUAAUACCUUUGCUCAUUGACGUUACCCGCAGAAGAAGCACCGGCUAACUCCGUG